rnacentral:rRNA from 1 species
GACAGAGGUGCCAAGCGUUAGGCGGAAUCACUGGGCUUAAAGCGUGUGUAGGCGGAUUUGUAAGUACCUUGUGAAAUCCCACGGCUCAACCGUGGAACUGCUCGGUAUACUGCUUAUCUUGAGCCACUGAGGGGCUACCGGAACAAAUGGUGGAGCGGUGAAAUGCGUAGAUAUCAUUUGGAACGCCAAUGGUGAAAACAGGUAGCUGGGAGUGUGCUGACGCUGAGACACGAAAGCCAGGGGAGCGAACGGG